rnacentral:rRNA from 1 species
GUCGAACGGCAGCACAGUAAGAGCUUGCUCUUAUGGGUGGCGAGUGGCGGACGGGUGAGGAAUACAUCGGAAUCUACCUUUUCGUGGGGGAUAACGUAGGGAAACUUACGCUAAUACCGCAUACGACCUUCGGGUGAAAGCAGGGGACCUUCGGGCCUUGCGCGGAUAGAUGAGCCGAUGUCGGAUUAGCUAGUUGGCGGGGUAAAGGCCCACCAAGGCGACGAUCCGUAGCUGGUCUGAGAGGAUGAUCAGCCACACUGGAACUGAGACACGGUCCAGACUCCUACGGGAGGCAGCAGUGGGGAAUAUUGGACAAUGGGCGCAAGCCUGAUCCAGCCAUACCGCGUGGGUGAAGAAGGCCUUCGGGUUGUAAAGCCCUUUUGUUGGGAAAGAAAAGCAGUCGAUUAAUACUCGGUUGUUCUGACGGUACCCAAAGAAUAAGCACCGGCUAACUUCGUGCCAGCAGCCGCGGUAAUACGAAGGGUGCAAGCGUUACUCGGAAUUACUGGGCGUAAAGCGUGCGUAGGUGGUUGUUUAAGUCUGUUGUGAAAGCCCUGGGCUCAACCUGGGAAUUGCAGUGGAUACUGGGCGACUAGAGUGUGG